ensembl:lncRNA
UCUGGUUGUCUGUCUCAUUUGAAAGCUUCUAACUGCAGGGAAUUGAGCGAGCAGGGAGCUAUAUUUCUCCCUCUUUGCUUCUGCUGAUGGUAUUUGUUCUGCAGCUGAUUCAGGUACCGAUUUUAGAGCUACUAAAGUGCUAGAUCGCCCUUGCUACCUCUCAAGGCUGCUCGAGGCUUUCUAAGGCAUUGAAAUACAAGCGCUAGCUGGUAUAAAGCUGAAAAAGAUACCUUCCACAUUUGGCGCCCAAUGUGCAAUCUCUGAACUCCGGUUCUGAGAGACUUUCAGUGUGUCCCGGCAGCUGUGUGUCUGCUGGAGUUAGCUCUGCACGUCCUGCUGUGCCAGCUCUGUGUGGCGAGGUGUUACUUUUUGUGUAACAUCGAGCCCAGAGCCUCAGCCUGUACCCUCCCCCACGCCACGUGGCGAGGGAACGGCUGGUGAGCAGAAGACCCUUCUCGCGUUUUUUUUCUCCGGACCUGCUUUCCUGUGAUAAAUCCAGAAUUCUGGUGAGUAUCUCCCUGCUGGUUUAGGGGCUCCUGUCUUAAGCUGGUGCCGGUGCAAGCUUUCUCUUUUUUUUUUUUUUUUUUUUUUUUUUUUUUUUUUUCCUCCUUUUUGGCGAGUAAGGGGUUGAGGUUUGGUGUGCAUUCAUAAUGGGAUCUGAAGUUUCUGCACACCAUAGAGAAAUAUACCACCAAGUUCAAAGUUACCUUUCUUGUACUGGGCAUAAAUACCCUAAAAAUCUAGUUCAAUCUUUUGUACACUGGCUUUUUCAGUACUUUCCUAAUCUGACCUCCGAAGACAUAAGAUCUGCUGAAUUUUGGGAUAAGGUGGGGAGAAAACUCUCCUCUCUUAGGCGUGCAGGAGAUGAAACAGUUUCAUCUCCUGCACGCCUAAGAGAGGAGAGUUUUCUCCCCACCUUAUCCCAAAAUUCAGCAGAUCUUAUGUCUUCGGAGGUCAGAUUAGGAAAGUACUGAAAAAGCCAGUGUACAAAAGAUUGAACUAGAUUUUUAGGGUAUUUAUGCCCAGUACAAGAAAGGUAACUUUGAACUUGGUGGUAUAUUUCUCUAUGGUGUGCAGAAACUUCAGAUCCCAUUAUGAAUGCACACCAAACCUCAACCCCUUACUCGCCAAAAAGGAGGAAAAAAAAAAAAAGAGGAAGUUUACACCGGCACCAGCUUAAGACAGGAGCCCCUAAACCAGCAGGGAGAUACUCACCAGAAUUCUGGAUUUAUCACAGGAAAGCAGGUCCGGAGAAAAAAAACGCGAGAAGGGUCUUCUGCUCACCAGCCGUUCCCUCGCCACGUGGCGUGGGGGAGGGUACAGGCUGAGGCUCUGGGCUCGAUGUUACACAAAAAGUAACACCUCGCCACACAGAGCUGGCACAGCAGGACGUGCAGAGCUAACUCCAGCAGACACACAGCUGCCGGGACACACUGAAAGUCUCUCAGAACCGGAGUUCAGAGAUUGCACAUUGGGCGCCAAAUGUGGAAGGUAUCUUUUUCAGCUUUAUACCAGCUAGCGCUUGUAUUUCAAUGCCUUAGAAAGCCUCGAGCAGCCUUGAGAGGUAGCAAGGGCGAUCUAGCACUUUAGUAGCUCUAAAAUCGGUACCUGAAUCAGCUGCAGAACAAAUACCAUCAGCAGAAGCAAAGAGGGAGAAAUAUAGCUCCCUGCUCGCUCAAUUCCCUGCAGUUAGAAGCUUUCAAAUGAGACAGACAACCAGAGAUGUUCACAGGAAAGUAGCUGAGCUGAGAGACAGGCGGAGCCUCUCCUCGACCAUCUUUAUUAGGAGAAGGGGAAAGGGGAGGACUGGGGGCGGACCCGGGGUGACCGGCCAAUCAGACACUGCUAAAGAGUCUGAGUUACAUUUGGCUUUGCCCGCGCUUGGAACAAAGGAGCUCGGAGCACAUGUCUUUGGGAGGGGGGAGGGGAAGCUCGGAACAGGCAGCAACAAUUCCCCAUAUCUUCAUGAAAUCACAACGGGUACUCUGAUAUAUCAUAGCUUCACAACAGAAUUUCAGCUUUAAGCAUCUCCUCUUUCUCUUCCCUCAGGUUUUCAGCUCUUCACAGCACUAAAAGGGUUA